rnacentral:sRNA from 1 species
AGAAUGUGCCUUUCAGGCAUCCUCUCCCAAAACUUCUACGGCCCGGCUUAACCGCCGGGCCUUUUUUCUGUCCCGU